rnacentral:lncRNA from 1 species
ACUGUUUCAUCGUCUUUUUCUGUCUAUUGCCAUUCACUUCUCCCCUCUCUCUUCUCACACCAGUUCAUCUUCAACCUCCCCUCCAAAAACUCUCCAUUCUCUGCCAUUUUUAUAAAUUCUGAAUUGCUAAAUUAUUUCACUACUUUUGUAAGAAAAACUCAUAUUUUUACGCCAUAUAUCUGCUUUUGCUGGCUUCUAGUGUGUGAGCUUCUAUUGUAUUACCAAGCUCAAGUUUCUGACCUUGAUUAGAGUUUUUGAAGCGAUAAUGUGGGCCUAAAUUCUGGUAACUUUUAUUUUUAUCAAUUCAAACUGAAUAAAAGUUUGCAUUUUUUUUUUCCUUUUCUUAUGUCCACAUAUAUUUUCCUAAAAUGCCCAUGUAAAAAGUCAUUCAAAAUUGCAUUUUUAUUGUGGGUUUGUGAAUUAAUUAGCAAAUUAAUGAAUAUUGGUUUAAAGGGUAUUAAGCUCAUGAUUUCAUGCUAGACUCAAUUUGAGCAAGAAUUUUCAAAAGGUGUUUGGAAUUAUCCACUUUUCAACGGGUUAAAGUGCCAAGUUUUGCUUGCUUUUUCAUCCUAUGGGGAUUACAUACUUUUGUAUACAGUUACCGUUACAUUUUAUUUUGCAGUAUCAGAUUCUCUCACAAAAUCUAUGAAUUUAAAGUACCUAAAGU